rnacentral:rRNA from 1 species
GACGAACGCUGGCGGCGUGCCUAAUACAUGCAAGUAGAACGCUGAAGAGAGGAGCUUGCUCUUCUUGGAUGAGUUGCGAACGGGUGAGUAACGCGUAGGUAACCUGCCUUGUAGCGGGGGAUAACUAUUGGAAACGAUAGCUAAUACCGCAUAACAAUGGGUGACACAUGUCAUUUAUUUGAAAGGGGCAAUUGCUCCACUACAAGAUGGACCUGCGUUGUAUUAGCUAGUAGGUGAGGUAACGGCUCACCUAGGCGACGAUACAUAGCCGACCUGAGAGGGUGAUCGGCCACACUGGGACUGAGACACGGCCCAGACUCCUACGGGAGGCAGCAGUAGGGAAUCUUCGGCAAUGGGGGCAACCCUGACCGAGCAACGCCGCGUGAGUGAAGAAGGUUUUCGGAUCGUAAAGCUCUGUUGUAAGUCAAGAACGAGUGUGAGAGUGGAAAGUUCACACUGUGACGGUAGCUUACCAGAAAGGGACGGCUAACUACGUGCCAGCAGCCGCGGUAAUACGUAGGUCCCGAGCGUUGUCCGGAUUUAUUGGGCGUAAAGCGAGCGCAGGCGGUUUGAUAAGUCUGAAGUUAAAGGCUGUGGCUCAACCAUAGUUCGCUUUGGAAACUGUCAAACUUGAGUGCAGAAGGGGAGAGUGGAAUUCCAUGUGUAGCGGUGAAAUGCGUAGAUAUAUGGAGGAACACCGGUGGCGAAAGCGGCUCUCUGGUCUGUAACUGACGCUGAGGCUCGAAAGCGUGGGGAGCGAACAGGAUUAGAUACCCUGGUAGUCCACGCC